UACGUAUGGUGCGAGCGUUGUUCGGAAUCACUGGGCGUAAAGGGCGCGUAGGCGGGAUAUUAAGUGGAGAGUGAAAACUUUGGGCUCAACUCAGAGCUUGCUUUCCAAACUGAUGUUCUUGAGUGCAGAAGGGGCAAGGGGAAUUGACAGUGUAGCGGUGAAAUGUGUUGAUAUUGUCAAGAACACCGGUGGCGAAGGCGCCUUGCUGGUCUGCAACUGACGCUGAUGCGCGAAAGCGUGGGUAGCAAAC
rnacentral:rRNA from 1 species